rnacentral:rRNA from 1 species
GCCUGCCCAAUGACUCUGUUUAACGGCCGCGGUAUCCUAACCGUGCGAAGGUAGCGUAAUCACUUGUUCUCUAAAUGUGGACUAGUAUGAACGGCAUCACGAGGGUUAUACUGUCUCCUCUUUCUAAUCAGUGAAACUAACCUCCCCGUGAAGAGGCGGGGAUAGAACUAUAAGACGAGAAGACCCUAUGGAGCUUUAAACAACAUAGCACCUGCCCUAUAAAACGAAAUUUCCGAAUCUCUUACUCCAAAGCAAUAUGACUAUAAGUUUUUGGUUGGGGUGACCGCGGAGCAAAACUUAACCUCCAUGUUGAAAAUUUUUAAGCUGAGAAUCACCCUUCUAAGCAUCAAUAUACUGACACCAAUUGACCCAAUACAUUUGAACAACGAACCAAGUUACCCUAGGGAUAACAGCGCA